AGCGAACGUUUGCGGCGGGCCUAACACAUGCAAGUCGAACGAUAACCCGGGCUUCGGUCUGGGGGAAAGUGGCGCACGGGUGCGUAACACGUGGGUAAUCAACCCUUUGGAUCGGGACAACCCGGGGAAACUCGGGCUAAUACCGGAUAAGUCGUGGGAGUCUUCGGGCACCCACGGGAAAGGCCCGCAAGGGCUACCAUUGGACGAGCUCGCGGCCCAUCAGCUUGUUGGUGAGGUAAUGGCUCACCAAGGCUAAGACGGGUAGCUGGUCUGAGAGGAUGAUCAGCCACACUGGAACUGAGACACGGUCCAGACUCCUACGGGAGGCAGCAGUGGGGAAUAUUGCGCAAUGGGCGAAAGCCUGAUCCAGCAAUGCCGCGUGUGUGAAGAAGGCCUCGGUUGUAAGU
rnacentral:rRNA from 1 species